AUUACUCCUACGGGAGGCAGCAGUAAGGAAUAUUGGUCAAUGGGCGGAAGCCUGAACCAGCCAUGCCGCGUGCAGGAUGACUGCCCUAUGGGUUGUAAACUGCUUUUGUCCAGGAAUAAACCCAGAUACGAGUAUCUGGCUGAAUGUACUGGAAGAAUAAGGAUCGGCUAACUCCGUGCCAGCAGCCGCGGUAAUAAUC
rnacentral:rRNA from 1 species